rnacentral:rRNA from 1 species
AGCCCAGAGCCUGAAUCAGUGUGUGUGUUAGUGGAAGCGUCUGGAAAGGCGCGCGAUACAGGGUGACAGCCCCGUACACAAAAAUGCACAUGCUGUGAGCUCGAUGAGUAGGGCGGGACACGUGGUAUCCUGUCUGAAUAUGGGGGGACCAUCCUCCAAGGCUAAAUACUCCUGACUGACCGAUAGUGAACCAGUACCGUGAGGGAAAGGCGAAAAGAACCCCGGCGAGGGGAGUGAAAAAGAACCUGAAACCGUGUACGUACAAGCAGUGGGAGCACGCUUAGGCGUGUGACUGCGUACCUUUUGUAUAAUGGGUCAGCGACUUAUAUUCUGUAGCAAGGUUAACCGAAUAGGGGAGCCGAAGGGAAACCGAGUCUUAACUGGGCGUUAAGUUGCAGGGUAUAGACCCGAAACCCGGUGAUCUAGCCAUGGGCAGGUUGAAGGUUGGGUAACACUAACUGGAGGACCGAACCGACUAAUGUUGAAAAAUUAGCGGAUGACUUGUGGCUGGGGGUGAAAGGCCAAUCAAACCGGGAGAUAGCUGGUUCUCCCCGAAAGCUAUUUAGGUAGCGCCUCGUGAAUUCAUCUCCGGGGGUAGAGCACUGUUUCGGCAAGGGGGUCAUCCCGACUUACCAACCCGAUGCAAACUGCGAAUACCGGAGAAUGUUAUCACGGGAGACACACGGCGGGUGCUAACGUCCGUCGUGAAGAGGGAAACAACCCAGACCGCCAGCUAAGGUCCCAAAGUCAUGGUUAAGUGGGAAACGAUGUGGGAAGGCCCAGACAGCCAGGAUGUUGGCUUAGAAGCAGCCAUCAUUUAAAGAAAGCGUAAUAGCUCACUGGUCGAGUCGGCCUGCGCGGAAGAUGUAACGGGGCUAAACCAUGCACCGAAGCUGCGGCAGCGACGCUUAUGCGUUGUUGGGUAGGGGAGCGUUCUGUAAGCCUGUGAAGGUGUGCUGUGAGGCAUGCUGGAGGUAUCAGAAGUGCGAAUGCUGACAUAAGUAACGAUAAAGCGGGUGAAAAGCCCGCUCGCCGGAAGACCAAGGGUUCCUGUCCAACGUUAAUCGGGGCAGGGUGAGUCGACCCCUAAGGCGAGGCCGAAAGGCGUAGUCGAUGGGAAACAGGUUAAUAUUCCUGUACUUGGUGUUACUGCGAAGGGGGGACGGAGAAGGCUAUGUUGGCCGGGCGACGGUUGUCCCGGUUUAAGCGUGUAGGCUGGUUUUCCAGGCAAAUCCGGAAAAUCAAGGCUGAGGCGUGAUGACGAGGCACUACGGUGCUGAAGCAACAAAUGCCCUGCUUCCAGGAAAAGCCUCUAAGCAUCAGGUAACAUCAAAUCGUACCCCAAACCGACACAGGUGGUCAGGUAGAGAAUACCAAGGCGCUUGAGAGAACUCGGGUGAAGGAACUAGGCAAAAUGGUGCCGUAACUUCGGGAGAAGGCACGCUGAUAUGUAGGUGAAGUCCCUCGCGGAUGGAGCUGAAAUCAGUCGAAGAUACCAGCUGGCUGCAACUGUUUAUUAAAAACACAGCACUGUGCAAACACGAAAGUGGACGUAUACGGUGUGACGCCUGCCCGGUGCCGGAAGGUUAAUUGAUGGGGU